GGGUGCGAUCAUACCAGCACUAAUGCACCGGAUCCCAUCAGAACUCCGCAGUUAAGCGUGCUUGGGCGAGAGUAGUACUAGGAUGGGUGACCUCCUGGGAAGUCCUCGUGUUGCACCCCUAA
rnacentral:rRNA from 1 species